rnacentral:RNase_P_RNA from 1 species
AGAGCAAAAUGAAUAGUCGCGUAUGCUUUUUAGCAUAUGAGGAAAGUCCGGGCUCCAUAGAGCAAUGGUGCUGGAUAACGUCCAGUGAGGAAAACCUUAAGGAAAGUGCAACAGAAAAUAAACGCCUAAAUUUUUAGGUAAGUGUGAAAAGGCGAGGUAAGAGCUCACCGCCUGUAUGGUGACAUAUGGGGACAGUGCAAACCCCACCUGGAGCAACGCAAAUAUAAAGGACAUUUUAAGGCUGCUCGCCGGUUCCUUUGAACAAGCGGCUAGAGAUAUAUAGUAAUAUAUAUUCGAGAUAAAUGACUAUUCACGACAGAACCCGGCUUAUAGUUUUGCUUUUUAU